rnacentral:rRNA from 1 species
UACGUAGGGACCGAGCGUUGUCCGGAUUCAUUGGGCGUAAAGAGCUCGUAGGCGGCUGCUCAAGUCGAAUGUGAAAACUCGAGGCUCAACCUCGAGCCUGCAUUCGAUACUGGGCGGCUAGAGUCUGGUAGGGGGAUCUGGAAUUCCUGGUGUAGCGGUGGAAUGCGCAGAUAUCAGGAGGAACACCGGUGGCGAAGGCGGAUCUCUGGGCCAUUACUGACGCUGAGGAGCGAAAGCGUGGGGAGCGAACAGG